CGGUGUCCGACCUCCUGUCCCGGCUGCAGAGCCCCCCGUCAGAGGAUGCAGAGUACAUGAUCAUGCGCUGCCUCUCGCCCUCCCCGGGGACCCCGCAGGGCUGGACCGGCCCGGGAUCCAGGACGGCGGAUGCAGCGGGAGGGAGAGGCUGCGAGUGCCGCCCGGCCAGCGCCCCCAGCCUGCACGGAGGGG